GCAACUGAAUUUAUGAAAACUACAGAACUAAAAUCUAGCGAAGCACUUAUGACUCUUAUUGAAGACAUGUUUGAUGCUGUUUUGGCAAUAUGCAAAUGCAGUAGUGAAGGCAGGACUCAACUGAUGGACACAUUUGUGUUGCAAUUAGGACAUGGGGUGACC